UAGUUUAUCAGCUUUUGUCAUUUGGUUAAACAAUUGAAACUGUGUUUGCUGUUAAAUUAGUUUAGAACUAGUUCUACCAACCUAUUUUUCCUUUUCACCAAGCACUCUUGUUUUUAAUAUAUACUGCAGUUAUUUAAUUAUUACCAUGUUUUUAUUUUUACAUAUUCAUGAAUGUCUAAUGCAGUUGCUCAUGAAUUUUGUGUCAUGUUAUGGUUAAUUGGUGACAAUGACAUGCCAUGAUUAAGGAAACACAAAUUUAUGAUGAAAUACUUUGGACCCUUGAAAUUCUUUUGGGCUAAUCAAGCAAUUGCAGUGGUGAGCAUGUAAUAUUUUUAGUAUAAUCAAUGGCCGGUGCAUUUUGUUGCACUAUGAUUGGCACUAUACUUCUCAUGAAUUAAAAGGGUGAGGAAAUGGGACACACUAAACUUGGUCACCAUACUGCAUCAAAAAGUUUUCAUGGUCAGAUUACAUUGUGUAGGAACCCAUAUGUUAUACCAUAAACCGUAUUGUCAUUCACAAUAACAUCCUUUCUAUCUGCCCUGCUUUUCUCUUUGACUUUGUCUUGUGUCUUCGCCUUCAGUGGUAGGUAGUGUGGUUGUCUGCACUAAAUUUCUCUGCACUGAAUUUCUAUACACUGAAUUUCUAUUCGACUUUGUCAUGUGUCUUUUCAGAACACCAAAAAAAUUCAUGUAAAUUUUAUAUUUCAUGAUAUAACUGAGAGACCAUAGAACAAUUUCUUAUAUCUCAUCUUGAUGGAUGGUGAAUGACAUCACCUUGAUAGUUUUAGAGGCUUUUGCAAGAUGAAAGGAAGGGGUUGCAGAAGCAGGAGAUUUUUUUGAAAAAUUGCAUGGUAUACAUGUAAAGAAGAAAUUUUGAAAGCUAAGCAUCGGCAGAAGAUUAUUGUUGAAAUGCUAAAGGUUCUCUUCCCUGAAUGCAACUUGCUUUUUCAUAUGGUGGGCUUUACAUGUAGAAGUCAAGGAGGCUUCUCGUUCGCGUGUGACUAUUUGAAGUUGGUUGAUAGGGAUUACGCCUGGUGUGGCUAAAUGGAAAUUUUAGGGCAUUCCAUCUACUCCUGUCAUUUGGGAGGGAUGGAAAGAGAGAAGUAACUGCUUGCUCAAAGCCUUCACUGCUGGACAAAAUUCAAGAAGAUUGUUAGCGGUCAUAGGGGUUCUAAUACACAAUGUAAUGUUCUCAUGUGCAGCUUUGCCCUUGUUUCACCUUGUGUCAACAGUUUAGCACCAUCAUAAAAUAUAUUGCUUAUGUUCAUUA